GGUGAACGCUGGCGGUAGGCCUAGCACAUGCAAGUCGAACGGCAGCACAGUAAGAGCUUGCUCUUACGGGUGGCGAGUGGCGGACGGGUGAGGAAUACAUCGGAAUCUACUUUUUCGUGGGGGAUAACGUAGGGAAACUUACGCUAAUACCGCAUACGACCUACGGGUGAAAGCAGGGGAUCUUCGGACCUUGCGCGAUUGAAUGAGCCGAUGUCGGAUUAGCUAGUUGGCGGGGUAAAGGCCCACCAAGGCGACGAUCCGUAGCUGGUCUGAGAGGAUGAUCAGCCACACUGGAACUGAGACACGGUCCAGACUCCUACGGGAGGCAGCAGUGGGGAAUAUUGGACAAUGGGCGCAAGCCUGAUCCAGCCAUACCGCGUGGGUGAAGAAGGCCUUCGGGUUGUAAAGCCCUUUUGUUGGGAAAGAAAAGCAGCAGGUUAAUACCCCGCUGUUCUGACGGUACCCAAAGAAUAAGCACCGGCUAACUUCGUG
rnacentral:rRNA from 1 species